AUAUUGGGGUAAUCAGGAGAGCUGGAAACAUAGGGGAGCAGAAAGUCAAUGGACCUGAAACAGAGACAUGGCUGCUUUAAAAGGCCCUGAAUUCAAUUCUUUACACCAACCAAUAUCUUCCUGCCAUAUAGACUGGCUCCAUUCUCAGCGGAUGGCUGUUCAACAUGAGUCUGGUACUGCUGGGGGUUUCUGCCUGUUAAAGGAAGUUUAUCCUUGCCAUUGUAACUUGCUCAAUGCUACAAAGUGCUCAUCUCGUGGAGGAUUAAGAUAAAAUGAGAUUGAAUCAUGUCUUUAUGUCAGGUCUUUUUGAGCUACAGA